rnacentral:snRNA from 15 species
UGCAUGAGGAAGAGGCCGGCCAGCACCGUGACGAGGACCAGGGCCAGGAAGACGAAGAUGGCCACGGAGGCGCCCGCGCGGGUGCCGACGAAAGUGGCCAUGAAGGCGCCCGC